rnacentral:tRNA from 1 species
GCGCCUGUAGCUCAGGUGGAAAGAGCAGUUGCCUUCUAAGCAACUGGCCGGGGGUUCGAGUCCCUCCAGGCGUACCA